AGGUAAGCUACUAAGAGCGAAUGGUGGAUGCCUUGACUGGUAAAGGCGAUGAAGGACGUACUAGACUGCGAUAAGCUACGGGGAGCUGUCAAGAAGCUUUGAUCCGUAGAUUUCCGAAUGGGGCAACCCAAUGUAUAGAGAUAUACAUUACCUAUAUAGGAGCGAACGAGGGGAAUUGAAACAUCUUAGUACCCUCAGGAAAAGAAAUCAAUAGAGAUUGCGUCAGUAGCGGCGAGCGAAAGCGCAAGAGGGCAAACCCAGUGCUUGCACUGGGGGUUGUAGGACUGCAAUGUGCAAGAGGUAAGUUUAGCAGAACAUUCUGGAAAGUAUAACCAUAGAGGGUGAUAGUCCCGUAUGCGAAAAACAAACCUUAGCUAGCAGUAUCCUGAGUAGGGCGGGACACGAGGAAUCCUGUCUGAACCCGGGUCGACCACGAUCCAACCCUAAAUACUAAUACCAGAUCGAUAGUGUACAAGUACCGUGAGGGAAAGGUGAAAAGAACUGAGGUGAUCAGAGUGAAAUAGAACCUGAAACCAUUUGCUUACAAUCAUUCAGAGCCCUAUGUAGCAAUACAGGGUGAUGGACUGCCUUUUGCAUAAUGAGCCUGCGAGUUGUGGUGUCUGGCAAGGUUAAGCAAACGCGAAGCCGUAGCGAAAGCGAGUCUGAAUAGGGCGCUUAGUCAGAUGCUGCAGACCCGAAACGAAGUGAUCUAUCCAUGAGCAAGUUGAAGCUAGUGUAAGAACUAGUGGAGGACUGAACCCAUAGGCGUUGAAAAGCCCCGGGAUGACUUGUGGAUAGGGGUGAAAGGCCAAUCAAACUUCGUGAUAGCUGGUUCUCUCCGAAAUAUAUUUAGGUAUAGCGUUGUGUCGUAAUAUAAGGGGGUAGAGCACUGAAUGGGCUAGGGCAUACACCAAUGUACCAAACCCUAUCAAACUCCGAAUACCUUAUAUGUAAUCACAGCAGUCAGGCGGCGAGUGAUAAAAUCCGUCGUCAAGAGGGAAACAACCCAGACUACCAGCUAAGGUCCCUAAAUCUUACUUAAGUGGAAAACGAUGUGAAGUUACUUAAACAACCAGGAGGUUGGCUUAGAAGCAGCCAUCCUUUAAAGAAAGCGUAAUAGCUCACUGGUCUAGUGAUUUUGCGCGGAAAAUAUAACGGGGCUAAAGU
rnacentral:rRNA from 1 species